GCUGGGCGUGGUGGCACACGCCUGUAAUCCCAGCUACUCGGGAGGCUGAGGCAGGAGAAUCCCUUGAACCCAGGAGGCGGAGGUUGUAGUGAACUGAGAUUGUGCCACUGCACUACAUCCUGGGUGACAGAGCAAGACUCCAUCUCAAAAAAAAAAAAAAAAGAAAGAAACCUGAGUGGAAAGAUGAAUUAUUUACACUUACACUUUUUUUUUUUUUUUUUUUUUUUGAGACGGAGUCUCACUCUUGUCACCCAGGCUGGAAUGCAGUGGCAUAAUCUCGGCUCACUGCAAUGUCCGCCUCCUGGGUUCAAGCGAUUCUCCUGCCUCAG
rnacentral:SRP_RNA from 1 species